UUGACCUCAAAUCAGGUAGGACUACCCGCUGAACUUAAGCAUAUCAAUAAGCGGAGGAAAAGAAACUAACAAGGAUUCCCCUAGUAACUGCGAGUGAAGCGGGAAAAGCUCAAAUUUAAAAUCUGGCGGUCUCUGGCUGUCCGAGUUGUAAACUAGAGAAGUGUUAUCCGUGCUGGACCAUGUAAAAGUCUCCUGGAACGGAGCGUCAUAGAGGGUGAGAAUCCCGUCUUUGACAUGGACUACCAGUGCAUUGUGAUAUGCUCUCAAAGAGUCGAGUUGUUUGGGAAUGCAGCUCAAAAUGGGUGGUAAAUUCCAUCUAAAGCUAAAUAUUGGCGAGAGACCGAUAGCGAACAAGUACCGUGAGGGAAAGAUGAAAAGAACUUUGGAAAGAGAGUUAAACAGUACGUGAAAUUGUUGAAAGGGAAACGCUUGAAGUCAGUCACAUUGGCUGGAGAUCAACCUUGCUUUUGGAAGGUGUACUCUCUGGUUGAUGGGUCAGCAUCAAUUUUGACCAUUGGAAAAAGGUUAGGGGAAUGUGGCAUCCUUGGAUGUGUUAUAGCCCUUGAUUGUAUACAGUGGUUGGGAUUGAGGAACUCAGCACGCCGCAAGGCCGGGUUUUACCACGUUCGUGCUUAGGAUGCUGGCAUAAUGGCUUUAAUCGACCCGUC
rnacentral:rRNA from 1 species